rnacentral:rRNA from 1 species
UACGUAGGGUGCAAGCGUUGUCCGGAAUUAUUGGGCGUAAAGAGCUCGUAGGCGGUUUGUCGCGUCGAAUGUGAAAACCCGGGGCUCAACCCCGGGCCUGCAUUCGAUACGGGCAGACUAGAGUUCGGUAGGGGAGUCUGGAAUUCCUGGUGUAGCGGUGAAAUGCGCAGAUAUCAGGAAGAACACCAAUGGCGAAAGCAGCUCUCUGGGACGGUACUGACGCUGAGACGCGAAAGCGUGGGGAGCGAACAGG